rnacentral:ncRNA from 1 species
AGGCGUCCGCACGGGAGCCCGGGGCACGGGCUGAGAGGGAGCUGCCGCUCCGACCGUGGAACCUGAUCCGGGUCAUGCCGGCGCAGGGAGCGUGAUUCCCAUGACG